UACGAGUGCCCCAAGCGUUAUCCGGAUUUAUUGGGCGUAAAGGGUCUGUAGGCGUCCCGAAAAGUUUUUCGUUAAAUCUCGAUGCUCAACGUCGAGGCUGCGGAAAAAACUUUCGGGAUUGAGGUCGGGAGAGGCAGAUGGAAUUGCCGGUGUAGGGGUAAAAUCCGUUAAUAUCGGCAAGAACACCAAAUGCGAAGGCUUUCUGCUAGAACGAUUCUGACGCUGAGAGACGAAAGCGUGGGGAGCGAAUGGG
rnacentral:rRNA from 1 species